rnacentral:lncRNA from 1 species
UAUAUAUAGAGUCUGGCUACUAUGCUAUUAAUAGCACAAAGCACUUGGUGCUACCAAGUUUUCCGCCGUUAAAUCUACCCUUGUGAUCAUUUUCACCCGUUAGAUCAUAUUAUUCAACCAACCACCCACUCAACCCUAGGGGGCCCACAUCAUCCUAACCGCACAUCUCUUAAUGCAAUGGCCAAAAACUUGGUAGCACCA